rnacentral:lncRNA from 1 species
AAUUUCUUGAAAACUAAGUGCCCGCCGCCACCACCAACAGACGGCUUAGGCAGUACUAGGGACCCAACAGUGGCACUAGAAUUUGUGACGCCUAAUCGCUUGGACAACAAGUACUACCUGGAAUUGAAGAAUCGUCGAGGGUUGUUGACUUCAGAUCAGACUUUGAUGGACAGCCGGUUAACAUCAAAGAUGGUAUUGGACAAUGCAAUGAAUGGAGCAAUGUGGGGAACAAAAUUUGCUAAAGCAAUGGUGCAUAUGGGAUCCCUUGAUGUGCUCACUGGCUCACAGGGUGAGAUCAGGAAGCGUUGCAGCUUCGUGAAUUGAAACUUUCCAACAGGUUUAAUUUGCUUCCGCUGGUGAUGAAAUCAUUUUCAUUCUUUAAUCAUUUUGUUCGAAAUUCUUUUGUAUUAGAUCGAUGUCCAAAUGUAAGUGUGAAUUGACUGGUUAACUAAUUGUAAUAUUAAUUAGUAUUAAUACAUUUCAAGCAUUCCAAUUUUGUAAAGUGUAAAUUGUUUUCUGUUCUGUAACUUGAGAUGCAGUCUGUCAUUUCUAUUCCAAUUACAUAUAUAAACGUUUCUUUUAAAAAUGAAGUAAACAAUUAUAUGUCAUUUUCUUCGUGGGGUUCAGACUCAAUCUCCAGACAAAUAUAUAUACGUUAGAUUAGAUUAGAUACAUGUCCAAAAAUGAUAAAACAUCUAGCCCUUCACAUGAAUGCACGUAAAGUUAAUUAUUAUGGAAUUAAAUCUCAGUUAUUAGUAAUAAUCAGAUGGUCUUUACCAUCAUGAUGCUCUAAUUAAUUAGUUCAUUAAAGUUGUAUUUUCUUUAUUGAUGAGAUAGUCCCCGGUUGACCGAGUAGACGGCUAAGGUGAGUUGUGUCAAUCAACCCAUUGUACGUGUUUCACUUGGAAAAAUGCUACUGUCCGAAAUGAAGUGACAAGAUUUUGCCCGCAAGACGAAAAUAUAGUAACCAUUAUGGGUAUUUUCGUCAACAUGUAAAAAGUAAACUGAAAUUUUACAUUAUUUUAUUUUACACAUUUCUGGUAAAGUCUGGCGAGCUUGCUUCAGAGUUCGCGCAAGGUAGCACUGUUGUUUUACUUCCGGCGGACUCUAAUAAAAAAUAACAAAAAAAGCAUUUAAAUUCUGAUGCAAUUUUAAUUAGUGCUAAAACUCUAAGGUGGUGUUUGGACAAUUUCACCCUAUAGUGUUAGUGUUAAACUUUCAAUAUUUACCAUAAAUAUAGUUAACAAAAUUAAACAAUAAAUUUAUUAAUAUAUUUUAUAAAUAAUUGAUAAAAAUUAUUUUAAAUACUACACUUAUAUUUAUAAUCAAACUCUAAUUAAAAAUUUUAUUAACAAAUUUUCAUUUUAUAAUUAAUUUAAUUUAAUUUGUUUCUAAAUAAAUUAUGAUAAAAUAUAAAUAAUUUCUUAAUUAAUAGAUUAUAAUUUAAAAAACCAAAAAGAAAAUAGUCGCUGCCGCCAUCAGCCAUCACUGUGCUUUCUCAUUUCAACUUGAGACUUAUGUGAAAGUGACCAUAAAUUGACCAUGUUUAAAUUGGAGCAACCUAUCUAGCUGAAAUGCUUGAUAUUGAUCCUGAAUUGUGAAAGUUAAAAAGUUUCCAAACUUUUUGAAUUAGAAUAUUAGAUUUCAACAAAAUAAACCCAUUUUUGGACCUCUUUGACAAUGGAAUGACGUCGCUUGUUGGUUGGUGAGUUUAAUGGUACUGGUGGUGAUGUUUCAUGCACCAAUGUUGGUGGCGACGGAAACUCUCCUAUGAUUGUUAAAUUUAUAUCUCUAUUUUUACAAUUAAUUAAAUAAAUAAAUGUAUUUAUAAAACUGUUUAAAUUAUUACUUUAACUUUAUUAUUAUAAAAUUGAUUAUCUACAAUAUUAAAUUGAUAAAAUAAAAUUAUAAAUAAUAAUUAUUUGAUAACAUUAAAUAAGUUAAUAAAAGAAUAAAGGAUAAUUUUAGAAGUUUUGGCUUCCAAUAGAAAAGAAUUUUGAAUUCAUCACUCUUUAUUGUGAAAUCUAAAUUGUACACUAUCAUUAAUAUUAAAUUCUAAUGAAAAUUAAUUCUUAUAUAUUAUGGCCGAACUAAACAACGAAAAUGAGAAAGGAAUUCAAAUUAUUUCCUAGCCCCUUUUCCCUUUCUCAAACCAAGCACCACACCUAAAGGUCGGUGAUCAUAGUAUUGUGCAAAUUUUAUUGAACUCGCAAGUGCACGAAUCUAUUGUAGAAUAGAUAAAUGGUGAUGAGUGUCGAUCCCACGAGGAGGUGACUUUUAAUUGUGUGCAGAAUUAAUUUUUCUAAGUGAGUGGUUAGAUUUGUGGUGAAAGUGACUUAUACUAUCCUAGAAUUUAAAUUGGAAUGGCAGAAUUAAAUUAAAGAGGAAACUAUUAUAAUUGAAGUGCUUGGAUAUCUGAAUCCGCAUCAACAUGCAUCAGGGGCUAAAUAUUCCUUAUUAGUGCCAAUUAAAUCAUGAGGGAGGAAUCCACACCUCAUGAACCGCACUCUAAUCAAUAUGGUGCUAAGGGCUUAUCGUGCCAAAUAAUAAGAACCUUGUACUAGGGAGCCGGUGAAACCAAGGCGGUAUCUAGACAAGAUUAUUAUUAUUUAUCGACGAAAAGUCAAAACAUGCACAAUAAUUAGAGGGGAAGAGAAAGUAAAUUUACUAAAAAAAAGCCCAUGGCACAUGUUGAGAUUUUACCUUCAACCCAAGCUUGAAAGGAAAUUAGCUACUCAUAAUUAAACCAUGGGUAAAAUGAAAAUUUCUUCAAAUACAUAGAAAAUACAAGAUGUAGAAUGAAUUACAGAAAAUGGAGCUAAAAAAUGAAUUCAGAGAUAUCACAUUAGGCGGGAAGACCCCAUUUUUAUAGAUACAUUGAGUAAAUCAUGGCCAUCGGAUUAAAAAUAUUUUGGACGCUCAGGAUUGCGCCACAUCAUCAGUCAACAGUACGCUGUUUGACCACGCGGUUUGAACAGUCAACCGACUUGAACAGUGACGCGGUUUGGUUGAAAAUAAUCAUGUGUAUAUGCAUAUACCGUACGCGCAAUUUUUGAUCCACUGAUAUGCUGCCACGUCACCGAUCAAUAGUGUAUAUAAAUUUUGUCCAAUAGAAUUGCGACACCUCAUCAGUUAAUGCAACAUCAUCGGUCAAUGUCACGUCAUCGUUCCGUAUGUGUGAACAGUGUCAUGAACAGUAACAUGGACAAUAUCGUACAUGUGAAUAGUGUCGUACAUGUAAACAGUGGCAUUUUUCAUUUUAUGCUCCUCCUAAGGUUUUCGACUGUCUUGAGUUCAAAAGUGAUGUCCAUUUUACCGUCUGAUUUCUCGUUCAUUGUGAAAUAACCAUGAUGCCCCUAAAAUACAUAAAAUACUUAAUUAAAAUAAAACACACGUAAUUAAAUCGCAAGAAGAUUAAAUAUAUAAAAGUAAGGGUGUUAGUAAGACUUGAAAUGUAAAAUGAUGAUUUUCUCCUUUAUAAAUAUACAUUUUCUAACAUUCAACACAUAGGAAAAUGAAUUCUCGUGAUUGGAUGUGGUAUCAUGGCUUUGAAUUUCUUAAGAUGAUGUGAAGACUUUUUUUUUUUAACUUCUUUAUUUUUAUCUGAAGAUCUGAUGUAUAAAAUUAAUCUACCUCAAGCAAUUAAUAUGCAUGUAAUUGCAUGAAAGCAGCAGUGGAUUAAACUGCUUAACGUACAAAUUAUGAAUUAAAAAAAGAAAAAAAAGUAAAGCUGACAAAUGAAGGAGGAUAAAGAUUGAUAGUUUAUUAAUUAAUUACAUUCUUAUGUCGAUGGAAGAAUAUAAGUUAGCAUAGAAAGGUUCAAAGUUGGAGAACUUCAAUCUACCUCAAGCAAUUAAUAUGCAUGUAAUUGCAUGAAAGCGUAUGGUUCAAAGAUAACUUCAAUCUACCAACAAGUGCGUAGAUCAACUGGUAAGUGGUUGUUCUAACUUAACUAAGGUCCUCAGUUCAAGGCUUGGGAAUGCAGCUGCGUUAAAUACUUAUUGGGAGAGUUUUAUCGUCCUAGUGGUCAUACCCGACUCGAAUCUGGAUUAAUCGAGGCCCAAUGUAGUUUUAGGAUACAAGAUGGUUUAAUAUACAAAAAAAAAAGAGAACUUCGAUCUACCUUAACCAAUUAAUAUGCAUGUAAUUGCAUGAAAGCAACAGUGGAUUAAACUGCUCAACGUACAAAUUAUGAAUAAAAAAAUAAAAAAGAAAAGAAAAGAAAAGAAAAGUAAAGCUGACAAAUGAAAGAGGAUAGAGAUUAAUAGUUUAUUAAUUAAUUACAUUCUUAUGUCGAUAGAACAAUAAGUUAGCAUAGAACGGUUCAAAGUUAGAGAACUUCAAUCUACCUCAAGCAAUUAAUAUGCAUGUAAUUGCAUAAAAGCACGGUUCAAAGUUAGAGAACUUCAAUCUACCUCAAGCAAUUAAUAUGCAUGUAAUUGCAUAAAAGCAGCAGUAGAUUAAACUGCUUAAUGUACAGAUUAUGAAUUUAAAAAAAAAAAAGUAAAACUGACAAAUGAAGGAGGAUAGAGAUUGAAGUUUAUUAAUUAAUUACAUUCUUAUGUCGAUGGAAGAAUAAGUUAGCAUAGAACGGUUCAAAGUUAGAGAACUUCAAUCUAUCUCUAGCAAUUAAUAUGCAUGUAAUUGCAUGAAAGCAGCAGUGGAUUAAACUGCUUAGCGUACAAAUUAUGAAUUAAAAAAAUAAAAAAGCAAAAAGAAAAAUAAAGCUAACAAAUGAAGGAUGAUGGAAACAAAGAUUGAUAAUUUAUUAAUUAAUUACAUCCUGAUGUCGAUGGAAGAAUAAGGCUUAGAACAAUUCAAAGUUAGAAAACUUCAAUCUACCUUAAGCAAUUAAUAUGCAUGUAAUUGCAUGAAAGCAACAAUGGAUUAAACUGCUUAACGUACAAAUUACGAAUUAAAAAAAGAAAAAAGAAAAGUAAAGCUGACAAAUGAAGGAGGAUGGAAAUAAAGAUUGGUAGUUUAUUAAUUAAUUACAUCCUUAUAGAAGAAUAAGUUAGCAUAGAACAGUUAGUUUGAAAACUUCAAUCUACCUCAAGCAAUGAAUAUGCAGUUACAGCUACGCAAUCUACCUCAAGCAAUUAAUAUGCAUGGUUAGAGCUACGCAUACACGCUAGUGGCUCAGAGUAAACACCAACCCCACCUUCUUUACACAUAGCUUCCUUGUCCGCAUCUUUUUCAACUUACAUGUAUAAAUACUCCCUCACAAAUCACCUAAAUGCUCCAAAAUAAAAUCAAAUCAAUCAUCAAAAGCCUUACAAGUUCUCCUUUAUCUUUUUAUUACCUUCUCUCUUAAACGCGGCUAGCAAUGAGCUACGCUAAGAUGGACUCCUGCAUGAUCAUGUGCAUCCUCAUACUGGUCUCCACCAUGCCUUUGGGAACAUCAGCAAAUGCAAAGCUCAAAGUAGGCUUCUAUAAAUCAACUUGUCCAUCGGCAGAGUCAAUUGUGAGAAAAGCCGUAAACAAAGCUGUGUCUUGCAAUCCUGGCAUAGCUGCAGGUCUCAUCAGGAUGCAUUUCCACGACUGCUUUGUCAGAGUACGUAAAUGCAUGCUCUUAUUCAUCCUCAUCGUAAUUAAUUGAUUAUCAAGUACGUUUGUGCUUGGCUUGGUUCUUUUCGCUCAAUUAAUUAAAAUAAUAUGAAAGUAGCUGUCGUUCGUAAUUAACGUAUCUGAUAUAUAUAUCAUUUUUGUCUGCUGCAUGCGCAGGGUUGUGAUGCUUCCGUGCUGCUAGAAACCAUACCAGGAAACCCACCUUCAGAGAGAGACGAUCAUGUCAACAACCCAAGCUUACGAGGCUUCGAGGUGAUCGACGAGGCCAAAGCACAAAUUGAAGUUGUGUGCCCAAACACCGUGUCAUGUGCAGAUAUUCUAACUUUCGCUGCUCGCGACAGUACUUCCAAGGUCGGUGGCAUCAACUACGCCGUGCCAGCUGGACGCCGCGAUGGACGAGUCUCUCUCAGCGAUGAAAUUGCAGAAAAUCUCCCUUCUCCUACCUUCAACGCGGAACAACUAGCUGCAAGGUUUGCUCGUAAAGGAAUUUCCGUAGACGAGAUGGUGACACUCGUAGGAGCUCACUCCAUUGGUGUCUCUCAUUGCUCUUCAUUCUCCAACCGUCUUUACGCUUUCAAUGCAACUCACCCACAAGACCCUUCAAUGGAUCGUAGAUUCGCUAAUUUCUUGAAAAAUAAGUGCCCGCCGCCACCACCAACAGACGGCUUAGGUUGUACUAGGGACCCAACAGUGACACAAGAAUUUGUGACGCCAAAUCGUUUGGACAACAAGUACUACCGGGAACUGAGGAAUCGUCGAGGGUUGUUGACUUCGGAUCAGACUUUGAUGGACAGCCGGUUAACAUCAAAGAUGGUAUUGGACAAU